rnacentral:piRNA from 1 species
UACACUGUCUUCACCUGACCCCAGGACCUGC